GGUCCCAUCGUCUAGUGGUUAGGACAUCAGGUUUUCAUCCUGAAAACGGGGGUUCGAUCCCCCCUGGGACUACCA
rnacentral:tRNA from 1 species